GUAAGGAAUAUUGGUCAAUGGACGCAAGUCUGAACCAGCCAUGCCGCGUGAAGGAUUAAGGUCCUCUGGAUUGUAAACUUCUUUUAUCUGGGACGAAAAAAGGCGAUUCUUCGUCACUUGACGGUACCAGAUGAAUAAGCACCGGCUAACUCCGUGCCAGCAGCCGCGGUAAUACGGAGGGUGCAAGCGUUAUCCGGAUUCACUGGGUUUAAAGGGUGCGUAGGCGGGCAGUUAAGUCAGUGGUGAAAUCCUUGAGCUCAACUCGAGAACUGCCAUUGAUACUAUCUGUCUUGAAUAUUGUGGAGGUAAGCGGAAUAUGUCAUGUAGCGGUGAAAUGCUUAGAUAUGACAUAGAACACCUAUUGCGAAGGCAGCUUACUACGCAUAUAUUGACGCUGAGGCACGAAAGCGUGGGGAUCAAACAGGAUUAGAUACCCGAGUAGUCC
rnacentral:rRNA from 1 species